UACGUAGGGGGCAAGCGUUGUCCGGAAUUAUUGGGCGUAAAGCGCGCGCAGGCGGUUAUGUAAGUCUGGUGUUUAAACCCAAGGCUCAACCUUGGGUCGCAUUGGAAACUGCAUGGCUUGAGUACAGAAGAGGAGAGUGGAAUUCCACGUGUAGCGGUGAAAUGCGUAGAUAUGUGGAGGAACACCAGUGGCGAAGGCGACUCUCUGGGCUGUAACUGACGCUGAGGCGCGAAAGCGUGGGGAGCAAACAGG
rnacentral:rRNA from 1 species